UGCUGCCUUUUCAGGAAGAUGCAAAGUCUGC
rnacentral:piRNA from 1 species